rnacentral:rRNA from 1 species
AUUGAACGCUGGCGGCAGGCCUAACACAUGCAAGUCGAGCGGAUGAAGGGAGCUUGCUCCUGGAUUCAGCGGCGGACGGGUGAGUAAUGCCUAGGAAUCUGCCUGGUAGUGGGGGAUAACGUCCGGAAACGGGCGCUAAUACCGCAUACGUCCUGAGGGAGAAAGUGGGGGAUGUUCGGACCUCACGCGAUCAGAUGAGCCUAGGUCGGAUUAGCUAGUUGGUGGGGUAAAGGCCUACCAAGGCGACGAUCCGUAACUGGUCUGAGAGGAUGAUCAGUCACACUGGAACUGAGACACGGUCCAGACUCCUACGGGAGGCAGCAGUGGGGAAUAUUGGACAAUGGGCGAAAGCCUGAUCCAGCCAUGCCGCGUGUGUGAAGAAGGUCUUCGGAUUGUAAAGCACUUUAAGUUGGGAGGAAGGGCAGUAAGUUAAUACCUUGCUGUUUUGACGUUACCAACAGAAUAAGCACCGGCUAACUUCGUG